AUUCCAGCUCCAAUAGCUUAUAUUAAUGUUGUUGCAGUUAAAAAGCUCGUAGUUGGAUUUCUGGUCGGGACGUCUGGCCGGCUCCGCAAGGGGUCGUUGCAUUGACUGUACUCGUCCAUCCUCAGGUUGACUAGCUCUGGUAUUUAUUUAUCGGUGUUAGAACGCCUGUCGUUUACUGUGAACAAAUUAGAGUGUUCAAAGCAAGGUGUACUUGAAUACAUUAGCAUGGAAUAAUAAGAUAGGACUUUGGUGGUUCUUUUUGAUAUUUUGUUGGUUUGCACGCCAAAGUAAUGAUUAAUAGGAGCAGUUGGGGGUAUUCGUAUUCAAUUGUCAGAGGUGAAAUUCUUGGAUUUAUAGAAGACGAACUACUGCGAAAGCAUUUACCAAGGAUGUUUUCAUUA
rnacentral:rRNA from 1 species